rnacentral:SRP_RNA from 1 species
UGGAAGGCUGGCGUGGGCGUGGCUCUCGCCAACCCGGUCAGGUCCGGAAGGAAGCAGCCGUAACGAGUUCGUCGCGGGUCGCGUCCAGUCUUCCACCU